rnacentral:lncRNA from 1 species
UUUGGAAGACUUAGGAUGGUUUUAAAAUAUGAAUCUGGACAAGACUGAGCCUUUCAAGGUUCGGGGACCGGUCCCUGAACUAAGGGACCGGACCCCGUAGGUUCUCUAUGCGUAAAGAAACGAUGCAACCGGUCCCUGAGAUGAGAGACCGGUUCCCGUGGCAUGUGUUUUCUGCUACGCAACGAGGGACCGGUCCCUAGCUUGGAGGACCGGUCCUCGGGGGACCGGACCCUUCGGGAGGACCGGAUCCUGAGACCGAUUUUUGUUUCUAAAAUCAGGUUUUCAAAUCCUAGUCUAUCUCUAAGUCUUAUAAACCUAUAAAUAAGAUGUAGAGGUGUUUCUAAAGCAUGGCUAAGCAUAGAAUAUCUUUUUAAAAACCCUAGAAACUUGUUGGGUGCUCUCUUUCUUUCACCAACAAUAAGUUUCUAUUGGAUCAAUUCUUGAAACCCUAAUUUCUUGUUCUUCAUGGAGAAUUGAUCUGGCUAUUGUUUAGAAAUAUCUUCUACAGCUCUUUCAUGAUUAUCUAAGCAAUAAAUCAUCAUCGAUUGUAUUGUUCUUGCUCCGGACGGAGUGUACUCGUGGAUUCGAGUGGGCGUGUGGAUUCAGCAUGAUCAAGGCUUCGUGGAUUCGAAGUGUGGACGUUUCGUGGAUUUGGGAUGUGGCAUUCCUGGAGACGAACGUGGGGCGUGGACAACCCGGCGGUGUGCACGAGAUCCGAAGAAGAUAAAAGAGAGGUUUGAGUCUGUGGAUUCGGUAAAUCACCUUGUAAUCUUUUAUUUCAUAGUGGAUUGUUAUCGAUUGUUGGUCCCGUGGGUUUUUACUCCAAGUUGGAGUUUUCCCACGUAAAUCUCGGUGUGAUUUUUAUUUUUCGCAUUUAUUUUAUCGCUUUGAGAUUUGUAGGUUUUUGGUUAUUACACCUAUUCACCCUCCUCUAGGUGUUAGAUACAAUCUAGAUAGAUCCUUGGGCUACCCCAAAAUUUUCUGUUGGUAUCAGAGCGGGAUCUAGAUAAAUUAAUAUCUAAUGGCCGAAGGCGGUAAUAUUAAUCGACCACCGCUCUUCGAUGGCACGAAUUAUGCCUAUUGGAAAGUUCGCAUGAGAGCUUUUCUAAUUGCAAUCGAUGAGCGGGUUUGGCAAGCAAUCGAAUUCGGAUGGAAACAUCCUACCAAAGUUGUCGAUAAUGCUACCGUUUCUAAACUGCGGAACAAGUGGACCAAAGAUAAGAACGAGUCAUCUUCGUUUAACGGCAAUGGCAUAAACGCUUUAUUUAAUGCAUUGUCUCAAAUGGAGUUUACUCAUGUUUCGGCGUGUAGUACCGCCAAAGAGAUUUGGAAUACUCUACAAGUUACUCAUGAAGGAACUAGCUUAGUAAAGGUCCAAAAAUUACAAAUGUUAACAAGUAAAUUUGACUCGAUUUUUAUGAAAGAAAACGAGACCUUUACCGAGUACUAUACGCGUCUACAAGACGUUGUUAAUACAUGCGCGAACUUGGGAGAGAAAAUUUUGGAUGCUAAAGUUGUUAGAAAGAUCCUUCGCACUCUUCCGGAACGCUUUCGGGCAAAAGUUGCCGCGAUCGAAACUGUAAAGCAUCCGGACGAGAUGAAAGUCGAAGAGUUAGUAGGUGCUUUGCAAACUUAUGAGAUGACUUUUCUUACUAACCAAUCUUCUUCCAAGUCUUUUUCUAAAAGUACAGGAGUUGCACUCAAAUCGACAAACAAAGAAGACGAUGAUUCGGAUUCCGACGGAGGUAUUUCGCUCGCUGAUUUUGAACAUCAACUGACGCUCUCAACGAAGAAAUUUCGACAAAACUUUCGGAAAAACAAAGCUUCAUCCUCGAAACAAAAAUCGUUUUCUAAAUAAUCUUUGAGUUCUAAAUUGAAAGACAAAAAACUUGCAAAACCUUCUAAAAAAAAAGAUGAUUUUGAAGGGGAAAUCCAAUGUUACAAAUGUAAAGGCUAUUACCAUAUUUCCACGGAUUAUCCUUCUAAAAGAUCUUACAAACAAAAGGCUUUGCAAGCGAAAACUUAGGACGAUUCUACUUCUGACGAAUCGACCUCAAGUGAAGAGGAGAAAAUUAAUGUUGCUUUAAGCUCUCAAACUUCUAUACCUCCCUCUUCGACUUUUUGUUUAUCUUCAAUUAUUUCUUACUCUUUUGUUUUUCCUUCCUUGCAUGGAACGUCGAGCAAUGAUGGCGAGAGUGAGGGGGAGUCGGAUGAUGAAAGCUUGGCCGAGGCACACCAACAACUUCUCGAAGAAUCAAAGAAGAUGGCCAAGCACAUCAAAAGGCUAAGAAAACGACUACUUGAGCUUGAAGAUGAGAACACUGACUUGAAGAAUGCAUCUAAAACUCUUGGAGAGGAAAGGGAGCAAGUAUUGAAUAAUAAUACAAUUCUCCAAGAGAAGCUCAACCAAUCGGAGAUAACGAUCAAAUCACAUCAAGAAAAGGUUGGUUUUCUAGAACAACAAUAUGAAGAAAUUCGUUCAUCCAAUCAAGUUUUGACCAAACAAGUUUAUCAACUUAAAUCCGACAUUCAAAAGUUUUCCUCCGGUUCGAAAAAGCUAGACCAUAUGCUCGGAUUAGGUCAAACGGAUAAACUUGGGCUUGGUUAUGAAAGGACUUAUGUUGAGAAGGAUGAAAAGGCAAUUCAUAAAGUCUCAACAAAUUUAAAAGAGAAAAUUUGCCAUAGAUUUGGUUGCAAAGGACACAUAAAGAAAACAUGCCCUAAUAAGAAAAAGAAACAUCAACCGACAUUGUCUAAGCAUCUAUCGACAUCUUCCAAUACUCAACUUCCCCCAUGGAUUCCAAAGCAACAUCAAUCGAGUCGCGCACCUCGGAUCAACCAAAAGUCAAAACAAUCGGUACACAACUACAACAAAUCAAGACAACCGAUAAUCCGACAAGUUUGGAUUCGAAAAGGUGAUAUCUUUCCUUGUCUUAAGUCUUAAUUUGUAUUUGACUUUAUGUUUUGCUAUGAUCGGUUUUAGUGCAUAUCUAUUGAUCAUUGCAUUACAUGUGCUUCGGAUUUUUUCUGGAUUAUUUCGUGAUUAAACAUUAAAUGAUUUUUUCUGGAUUAUUUCGUGAUUAAACAUUAAAUAGUGUGUUGAACGUCGAUAAUUUACAUUCAUUCGUUUUGAAUUAAUUUCAUAUUAAUUAUCAGUUUCACUUUAUUAUCACUAUUUUUUGAAGAUAAUUUAUAAUAGAAUAUCUUAAUUCUUAUAUUCAUCAAAUUUGAGUAGUCAUGUGUGAUCUUUUGGCACUUAACCUAUCUCGGUUGUGUGUGUUGAAUUUGAUGAAUGAAAAUUUGCUAAUCGACUAAAACUUGUCAAAUUUUCUUUCAUAUAAGAGAUUGCAUAAUUAAGGGGGAGUCAUGUAUAAAAAUAUAAUAAAAAGGAGGAGAAGAAAAUACUCACAUGCGUAAAAGAUGUGGAAAGAGUUACAUCCUAAAGGGAGUGUGAAAACUUCCACCACAUGUAGGAAAGAGCUACCAUCCCUGUCGUCCGGUAAAUGUGUGAAGCUACCACAUGAAAUUCUAGUGCAUAACCGAAAAGGUUGAAAAAAAAUGUUCAUAUUAUAUAAAGAGUUUUUGGUGUAAUAAGGUGGUUUAGUAAAAAGAUGCUCAAAGAGCCACCCAUGGUACAUUAUUACUUGAUCUCGAAUUUGAACGUUUAUGUGACAAAUUUCUGUCAUUUAGUGAAUCUUCAUAAGUCAUCUUUAUAAUCCGUUACAUUUUGAUAGAUUUUGAGCCUUUAGAUUAUUUUUGAUGACUUGAUUUUGAAGUAUAUAUGGAUAAAGAAAUUUUAGUAUAUUUUAUCUACAUCUUGGUGAUCUUGUAGUGAAAUUCUUAAUUUCUAUGAAAUUGAUAUGGAUUGAAUGAAGUCUAUGUGAAUUUAUCUUACUCAUGCACUAACAUUAUUGGUACUCUCUCUAUUUUGCUACUUUCUUUUGGCAAUUUUUGACAAAAAGGGGGAGAGAGAUGAGAUUUUAGAUUUUCAUGUGUUUAAAAAAAAAUGGAUGAAUUUUAAUUUUUAUUGAUCAUUAGAAGCAUGAACAAGACACAAAGACGCAUGAACAAAGGGGAAGAGAUUUUCAUUUUUUUUUUUUAACUAACUUUGUUCGAGGAUAAAGUAUUCUUUCUGCAGAUUCUUGAAGACUUCAAGACUCCUUGUGUUUAAGUCAUAGAGUUUGUUUAGGAGUUGCAAAAUUGUAAUUUUGUAUUUUCUUUGGAUUUUUCACGCGAUAAGUUCAUUGUUUUGGUGAUGGCAAUGAAUUUCAUUUUUUAUUGGUUGGAGAGUUGAGCGUUGUGAGUACUUUGAUGUAUUUUUGAGUUUUGUCACGAAAUUGCCAAAGGGGGAGAUUGUUACGGAUUUUAUGUUGGCAUAUUUCGUGAAGUAAGUCGAAGUCUUGAAAGUUUGAAGAAGAAGAGAUGAAGAUCGAAGACUCGAAGACUCAAAACAUGAAUGUACAAUGCUCGGUAAGUUUAAAUACUAUUGAUGAUGAUUUAUAAAUGUUUAAAAGUGUUUGGAAGACUUAGGAUGGUUUUAAAAUAUGAAUCUAGACAAGAUUGAGCCUUUCAAGGUUCGAGGACCGGUCCCUGAACUGAGGGACCGGACCCCGUAGGUUCUCUAUGCGUAAAGAAACGAUGCAACCGGUCCCUGAGAUGAGAGACCGGUUCCCGUGGCAUGUGUUUUAUGCUACACAACGAGGGACCGGUCCCUAGCUUGGAGGAUCGCUCCUCGGGGGACCGGACCCUUCGGGAGGACCGGAUCCUGAGACCGAUUUUUGUUUCUAAAAUCAGGUUUUCAAAUCCUAGUCUAUCUCUAAGUCUUCUAAAUCUAUAAAUAAAAUGUAGAGGUGUUUCUAAAGCAUGGCUAAGCAUAGAAUAUCUUUUUAAAAACCCUAGAAACUUGUUGGGUGCUCUCUUUCUUUCUCCAACAACAAGUUUCUAUUGGAUCAAUUCUUGGAACCCUAAUUUCUUGUUCUUCAUGGAGAAUUGAUC